rnacentral:rRNA from 1 species
UGGGGAAUUUUGGACAAUGGGCGCAAGCCUGAUCCAGCAAUGCCGCGUGCAGGAUGAAGGCCUUCGGGUUGUAAACUGCUUUUGUACGGAGCGAAAAGGUCUGCCCUAAUACGGUGGGCACAUGACGGUACCGUAAGAAUAAGCACCGGCUAACUACGUGCCAGCAGCCGCGGUAAUACGUAGGGUGCGAGCGUUAAUCGGAAUUACUGGGCGUAAAGCGUGCGCAGGCGGUUAUAUAAGACAGAGGUGAAAUCCCCGGGCUCAACCUUGGAACUGCCUUUGUGACUGCAUAGCUAGAGUACGGUAGAGGGGGAUGGAAUUCCGCGUGUAGCAGUGAAAUGCGUAGAUAUGCGGAGGAACACCGAUGGCGAAGGCAAUCCCCUGGACCUGUACUGACGCUCAUGCACGAAAGCGUGGGGAGCAAACA